rnacentral:rRNA from 1 species
ACGAACGCUGGCGGCGUGCUUAACACCUGCAAGUCGAACGGAAAGGCCCUGCUUUUGUGGGGUGCUCGAGUGGCGAACGGGUGAGUAACACGUGAGUAACCUGCCCUUGACUUUGGGAUAACUUCAGGAAACUGGGGCUAAUACCGGAUAGGAGCUCCUGCUGCAUGGUGGGGGUUGGAAAGUUUCGGCGGUUGGGGAUGGACUCGCGGCUUAUCAGCUUGUUGGUGGGGUAGUGGCUUACCAAGGCUUUGACGGGUAGCCGGCCUGAGAGGGUGACCGGCCACAUUGGGACUGAGAUACGGCCCAGACUCCUACGGGAGGCAGCAGUGGGGAAUAUUGCACAAUGGGAGGAAGCCUGAUGCAGCAACGCCGCGUGCGGGAUGACGGCCUUCGGGUUGUAAACCGCUUUCGCCUGUGACGAAGCGUGAGUGACGGUAAUGGGUAAAGAAGCACCGGCUAACUACGUG